rnacentral:misc_RNA from 1 species
UGGGUAUUGUGAUAUAAUGAGCUUGACAUGUUUAUUUGCAUAGAAAGAGUGAUGAAAUUUAUUUGCAAUUUUGCAUUGCCUAAUUAAGUGAAGUUAUAAUACUAAUAAUAUUUAUUUCUUCCAUUGUAGGCUAUGGCGCCUUACUUCAAAAAGGCUCUCGCCUCUCACCUAAAUAUGGUACCCUGUCAUCUUAGUGUAGUCUCUCGCCUUAAUAACACUGGUUAGAGCAGUCCGUAACCCUGAAGUACAAUUCAUUUAAAUUCACAGAAACAUNNNNUUGUAAGCCUUAUCAUAAGUCAACACUAACUGGAUUAAAAUCCCAAUUUAAGUAAUUAUUUAAUUUAAAACACCAGAACCUCAAUCUAGCAGAGAUCAGAA